rnacentral:rRNA from 1 species
AGAGUUUGAUCCUGGCUCAGGAUGAGCGCUAGCGGCAGGCCUAACACAUGCAAGCCGAGGGGUAAGGCCCUUUCGGGGGUACACGACCGGCGGACGGGUGAGUAACGCGUAUGCAACCUGCCCUUUACCGGGGGAUAGCCCAGAGAAAUUUGGAUUAAUACCCUAUAUCCCUUUUGCCGGCAUCGGCAGGAGGCAAAAAUUUUAAUGGUAAAGGAUGGGCAUGCGUGCCAUUAGCUAGUUGGUAGGGUAACGGCUUACCAAGGCCACGAUGGCUAUGGGGUCUAAAAGGAUGGUCCCACACACUGGUACUGAGACACGGACCAGACUCCUACGGGAGGCAGCAGUGAGGAAUAUUGGUCAAUGGGUGAGAGCCUGAACCAGCCAUGCCGCGUGCAGGAUGACUGCCCUACGGGUUGUAAACUGCUUUUGUACGGGAAGAACAUGCCCCACUUGUGGGGCCCUGACGGUACCGUACGAAUAAGCAUCGGCUAACUCCGUGCCAGCAGCCGCGGUAAUACGGAGGAUGCGAGCGUUAUCCGGAUUUAUUAGGUUUAAAGGGUGCGUAGGCGGGCGCUUAAGUCAGUGGUGAAAUCCCGGGGCUCAACUCCGGAACUGCCAUUGAUACUGGGCACCUUGAGUACAGUUGAGGUGGGCGGAAUGUGUCAUGUAGCGGUGAAAUGCAUAGAUAUGACACAGAACACCGAUUGCGUAGGCAGCUCACUAAACUGUCACUGACGCUGAUGCACGAAAGCGUGGGGAGCGAACAGGAUUAGAUACCCUGGUAGUCCACGCUGUAAACGAUGAUCACUGGCUGUGUGCGAUACACCGUACGUGGCUGAGCGAAAGCAUUAAGUGAUCCACCUGGGGAGUACGUCGGCAACGAUGAAACUCAAAGGAAUUGACGGGGGCCCGCACAAGCGGAGGAACAUGUGGUUUAAUUCGAUGAUACGCGAGGAACCUUACCUGGGCUUAAAUGGUGGACGGCCGGGGCAGAAACGCCCCUUCCCUUCGGGGCGUCCUCCAAGGUGCUGCAUGGCUGUCGUCAGCUCGUGCCGUGAGGUGUCGGGUUAAGUCCCAUAACGAGCGCAACCCCUAUUGUUAGUUGCCAGCAGGUAAAGCUGGGGACUCUAACGAGACUGCCACCGUAAGGUGUGAGGAAGGUGGGGAUGACGUCAAGUCAGCACGGCCCUUAUGUCCAGGGCUACACACGUGUUACAAUGGCCGGCACAGAGGGCAGCUACCUGGUGACAGGGUGCAAAUCUCGAAAGCCGGUCACAGUUCGGAUCGGAGUCUGCAACUCGACUCCGUGAAGUUGGAUUCGCUAGUAAUCGCGUAUCAGCAACGACGCGGUGAAUACGUUCCCGGGCCUUGUACACACCGCCCGUCAAGCCAUGGGAGCCGGGGGUACCUGAAGUCCGUAACCGCAAGGAUCGGCCUAGGGUAAAACUGGUGACUGGGGCUAAGUCGGAACAAGGUA